GUUUAGUGAGACGCGUCAGAGUUCCAAACAGCAGGCAGUCGACCGGUAGGUACAAGAGCCUAACGGAUCGAUAUUUAGGCUCCGAAACAUCUCCACUGUGGUUCGAAGACUAUAGAAAUUGCUGCUUAUCUGGCUACCGCAAUAUUUAAUGAAGGUUUUUUUCCAAUAUUAAAAAUGAUGGAAACAAUGGGCAUUAUUAUUGGACAACAGAGCAAAACAUUUGCCGAAUAUCAUAAUGACAAGCGACUAUUGAAUGCACACCGGCGUAGCUUAGAAAGCACUAAAGAGGCUCGUACAGCCAGAAGAAUGGAGAAAACGGUAUUAUAAGACUUUUUUGAAGAAGAAGAAGGUUUAAUGUAUGGGGCCGGAAUAGCAGAAUAAACGUUCAAGUCGAUUUUUCAGCGAUAACCGGGAGGAACAUUACAACGCCCGCCAAUGGACGGGAAAUUUCAGAGAGGGGUCCAGAUUAUUUAUUAUAUAUUGAAAUUAAAUAAUGCAAACUGAAAAUAAUUAA
rnacentral:lncRNA from 13 species